AGUGACGUAGAACAACAGGAAGUUCAUGAGGCUCAUGACCUCGGGGUUGAUGGUUCGAAUCCAUCCGUCACUU